CGGAUGCCUUCCUUGCGAGGAGGUAGCGAGGGGUCUGCUAAAGUGACACAGAGUGCGCUCGACGAUUGCCCGCCUGGAGCCGGAAUGGCCAUCCUCCCAGCUGCCUGCGGGCAGGGGCCGGCGCUCCUCCCCCCGCCCUGCUUCUCGGCCCGGCCGCCCCGCCCCAAGGGCGGCUCCCUCCCGCGCCCUGCCCACCGCGGCCGAACGACCGCCAAGCCCCCGCCCAGCCGCCCGGAACCAGCUGAGCGCCGCUGGACCCAGCAGCAGCCGUCCGCAGCGCCUCAGCCGCAGGUGGUGCUGAUAACCCCCUUGUACCGUGCCUCUGCCGUGGUCCCAGCACCUCUUCACGGAGCAGUCCUCUUUCCCCCUCACAGCCCUGCAAGCUAAAGAUACUGAGGCACCAAGAGCGGAGGUAACUUCUCUCCGGUUGCAUAGGUAACAGUUGGAAGGGCUGGGAAUCUGUCCUCCUUCAUCCUUACACUGCAGACUGGAAACACAGCACGGAGUGAGGGACCCUGUUUGUCUGGCACAGUUUGUGACACACGCUUUCAAGGGACAGGACCUGGUAUUUCAAAAGAUGGAAAAAAAACCCAAUGACAAUGGAUGGAUGCAUGCUUGUAAAUAGUUUCAAACCCUACAGCUCAUUUUAUUUCCAGGCAAGUAUUUAGGUGUAAGUUAUCUACCAUAACAAUUCGCCCACUGUAAGUGUUCAGUACUCUGAUUUUUGGUAGAUUUUUCCAGAGUGUAAUCAUCACCAUUUUCCACUGUUAGAAUGUUUUCAUUACCCUUGGGUGUCCUCUCAGGCUGAUGACAGGGAUCUGGGCGCUCACUCCAGCCUUGGGCAGCCACAACUCUCCCCCUUCGUCCCUUUCAAGCAAACUGCCUGGACAGUUUGGUGUUUACCCUCCUUGACUUUUUAAGGAUGUGUGCAAAAACGGAACCCUUAUUAAAAAGAGGAGAGGAGGGGCGCCUGGGUGGCUCAGUUGGUUAAGCGACUGCCUUCGGCUCAGGUCAUGAUCCUGGAGUCCCUGGAUCGAGUCCCGCAUCGGGCUCCCUGCUCAGCAAGGAACCUGCUUCUCCCUCUGACCCUCCCCACUCUCAUGUGCUCUUUCUCUCUCUCUCAUUCUCUCUGUCUCAAAUAAAUAAAUAAAAUCUUAAAAAAAAAAAAAAAAAAAAGAGGAGAGGAGAUGGGGCGCCUGGGUGGCUCAGUUGGUUAAGCGACUGCCUUCGGCUCAGGUCAUGAUUCUGGAGUCCCGGGAUCGAGUCCUGCAUCGGGCUCCCUGCUCGGCAGGGAGUCUGCUUCUCCCUCUGACCCUCCUCCCUCUCAUGCUCUCUGUCUCUCAUUCUCUCUGUCUCAAAUAAAUAAAUAAAAUCUUUAAAAAAAAAAAAAAAGAGGAGAGGAGCCAUACUAUAGUCCUUGUACAAUUUGCCUUUUGCACUUAAAGGUUUCUCUUUACUUCCUGCAUCCCUACUAUAUGCCAGGCACAAUCAGAUCUAGCUCAUUCUUUCUUCACAGCUGCAAAGUAGUCCAUUUUAUGGUGGCUCUGUAAUUUAUUGAAUCGGGACAUUUGGGUCCUUUCCAGUUUUCUUCAAACGAUGCUUCAGUGAAUCCUUGUACAUAUAUUUUGGUGUUUCUCUGUAAGUAAUACUGAAGGAAGCGGAACUUUUGUUGCAUUGUGUCUUUCUUGAAUUUGGGGAGCUAAGUUGCUAUCCAGAGAGGUGAAACCGAUUUAUGCUUACAGCAAGAGCAUAUGGGAACUCUGGGGUUUUUAUAAUCCUCCAAAUCCCCAGCAAGAGGGAAGAGCUCUGAAUGCAGACUCUGCAGGCCCAGGCCUCAGGCACCUCCCUAGGACUCCCCACAGACCCCGGGAUAAAGUUCAGACUCCAGCGGGGCACACGGGCCCCUGUGACUCCUGCCACCAUCUCAUCUCUUCUUACUCCCUGUGUUUUAGGUUGGACCCCUCCUUAUCCACUGGAUGUGGCCUGUGUUUGCUUGCCCUUUGCCCAUGCUGUCCCCUCUCUUAGAAUGUCUUUUUUUCUCAAUCUCCCUCUUCCUUGUCCUUUGAGGCCUAGGUCACAAGUCCUUUCUAUCACAAAGCCUUCUUGCAAUCCCUACAGUCUGAAUUGCCUUCUCUUUGUGUUCCCUUAGCUCUUUAUCUGACCCACAGACUGCCUUAAGUAGGAGGAAGUUGUGGGUGGUGCAAGGCAAACUUCAGCCUGAUUUGAUAGAAGCUGGGCUCCAGGAGGAGCUGGGAUAGGUGACCAUAGCUUGGGGGGAAUGGGGACAGUAACCCAUUUACCUAGUUGUAGGCCAGGCCAUUUUCAUACAUACAGACUGAUUUAAUCCUCAGCAACUACUAUACCCAUUUAGUAGAUGAGGAGACUGAGGCAUAAAGUACUUUACACACAGUGGAGGCGGGGGUCAAACCAGAUCUCCAGCUCCCCAGUUCACUUCCUCUCAUUGCACUAGGCUGUUGGGAGAGAGGAUGGGAAGAGAACUUGAAACAGAGAAGUGGGUCCAACAGAGUGGUGGGAGGGAUGAGGGAGGAGUUGAUGGAGGUGGAAAGCAGGCCUCCUUGACUCGGAAUAUUAUUUGUUCUAACACAAUGCCUGGGUGCCUCUAGUGGGACAGUAGGGAGGGUGGGAAGGGAGCCUUAGAAUGAGGAAGAGACUUAAAUCCUUGUCUUCCCCAGGGGGAGCCGAUAGAUAAGAUCUGGAAGUGGAAAAAAAAAAAAAACAAACAACCCCCCCCCCCCCGGAAAAAAUAAAAAAUAUACCCACAGAACCACCACCACCAACUACAAGAACCAACAAGGGCUUGGUAUUUAAGAUAUGAGGGCAAGCCCAGAAGCAUCAACUAAAGGAGGUCGAUAGAAUAGGUUGCUCCUGGGGAAAACUGAGUGGGGUUGAGAGGGAACAAUUGGUACAAAUAGGUGACUUUAAGUUGUGAUAAAAAUAAACUUUUAAAAAAUAAAACCUGUUGGGGCUCCUGGAUGGCUCAAUCGGUUAAGCGUCUGACUUCAGCUCAAGUCUUGAUCUUAGGAUCCUGCCUGUGUUAGGCUCCGGGCUCAGCGGGGAGUCUGCUUGUCCCUCUGCCCCCCUACUCAUGCACACUCCCUCCCUCUCUCUCUCUUUCUCAAAUAAAUAAAUAAAUAAAUAAAUAAAUAAAUAAAUAAAUAA